UAAAAUCAUCUUCAUCUUCACAUAACUCAUAACCUUGACCAUAACACCAUAAACAUAAAACAACAGUAUCAUGAAACUCCUUCUCUAAAACUCUUAAACUCACACUUCAACAAACAUUGAAACCACCCUCCAACAACACCUAUCACCUUCGACCUCCAUCUUAUUCCUCACAUAAAACCACUGUGAAACUCCAACGUCUUCUGUCGGAGAACUAGCUGCUACAGCUCCGCAUCACCGCCGCAAUA
rnacentral:lncRNA from 1 species